rnacentral:rRNA from 1 species
UGGGGAAUCUUGCGCAAUGGUCUAACGACUGACGCAGCGACGCCGCGUGCGGGAGGAAGGUCUUCGGAUCGUAAACCGCUGUCGGGAGGGAAGAAGCGACCGGGGGGGAAAUACCCUGGUUCUGACGGUACCUCCAAAGGAAGCACCGGCUAACUCCGUGCCAGCAGCCGCGGUAAUACGGAGGGUGCAAGCGUUGUUCGGAAUUAUUGGGCGUAAAGCGCGCGCAGGCGGCCGAAGAAGUCCAUGGGUGAAAGGCCGGGGCUCAACCCCGUGCAUGCCCAGGAUACUGAUCGGCUGGAGACACGUAGAGGCAAGCGGAAUUCCGGGUGUAGCGGUGGAAUGCGUAGAGAUCCGGAAGAACACCGGAGGCGAAGGCGGCUUGCUGGGCGUGAUCUGACGCUGAGGCGCGAAAGCGUGGGGAGCGAACAGGAUUAGAUACCCUGGUAGUCCACGCUGUAAACGAUGGGCACUGGAUGCGGGGGGGAUCGGCCCUCUCCGUGUCGCAG